rnacentral:lncRNA from 1 species
GUUCAUCUCCACUUUACUCUUUGUUUUCGCUGGUGUUGGCUCUGCCAUUGCCUACGGUUCGUAUACUCGUAGUUAAAUAAUGGGAUCUAAAUAAUUUUCGUAAUUUGUAAAAAUUAAUGGGUUCAAUACUUAAUGAAUGUGUCACAUUUGUGUAUAUAGCAAAGCUGACGUCGGACGCUGCUCUUGAUACACCGGGACUAGUGGCCAUCGCGGUUUGUCAUGGUUUUGCUCUCUUCGUGGCCGUUGCAAUCGGAGCCAACAUCUCCGGUGGCCAUGUGAACCCAGCCGUCACUUUUGGUCUUGCUGUCGGUGGUCAAAUCACAGUCAUCACCGGAGUUUUCUACUGGAUCGCUCAGCUUCUCGGCUCCACCGCCGCUUGUUUCCUCCUUAAAUACGUCACCGGUGGAUUGGUAUGUUCUCAUCACCUUUACUUACUUUCUCGUAAAAUAAAGAGAAUCAUAGUAUAGGUCUACAAAACAACAAAAAUAAAAUAAUACAGAAUAAAGGUAUUUAAGGACAAUCUUAACUUGAUUGAAAACUAGGUUACAAAUUUAUAACAUAGUUUACAAAGUCCAACAACCAAUAAUAUUCUCCAUGUUUUAAUAUAUAGUUGACACAUGAUUUGUAUGUUUUUGGACAAACGACACAUGAUUUUGUUUAAAAGUGAAGUUAUAGAAUAUUGUAGGGUUUUUUCUAUUUCAAGCUAGCAUUUUAUACUGUAGGUUUCAUUUCGCACUAGUAGGCAAAUUCUGGAGGCAUUUUAAUUAAUAAAAACUAAUGAACGAGCGCUAAAACUAUUGAAAACGCAGGCGGUUCCAACCCACAGCGUUGCGGCUGGACUAGGAUCGAUAGAAGGAGUAGUGAUGGAGAUCAUCAUCACCUUCGCUUUGGUCUACACUGUCUACGCCACCGCCGCUGAUCCCAAGAAGGGUUCUCUCGGAACCAUCGCUCCUCUCGCCAUUGGUCUUAUCGUUGGUGCCAACAUCCUCGCCGCCGGUCCAUUCUCCGGUGGAUCCAUGAACCCAGCACGUUCCUUUGG